GGAUGAAGAACGUAGCGAAAUGCGAUACUUGGUGUGAAUUGCAGAAUCCCGUGAACCAUCGAGUCUUUGAACGCAAGUUGCGCCCGAAGCCAUUAGGCCGAGGGCACGCCUGCCUGGGCGUCACACGUCGUUGCCCCCCCAUCUACUCCUUCGGGAUUGCGGGGGGCGGAUGAUGGCCUCCCGUGCGCCUCGUCGCGCGGUUGGCAUAAAUGCCAAGUCCUCGGCGACGCACGCCACGACAAUCGGUGGUUGCGAAACCUCGGUUGCCCAUCGUGUGCGGUCGUCGCGCAUCGAGGGCUCGAAAAAAUUGCCGGGCUCCGGCUCGGCUUUCAACGCGACCCCAGGUCAGGCGGGGUUACCCGCUGAAUUUAAGCAUAUCAAUAAGCGGAGGA
rnacentral:misc_RNA from 1 species